UACGUAGGGCGCAAGCGUUGUCCGGAAUUAUUGGGCGUAAAGAGCUCGUAGGCGGUUUGUCGCGUCUGCCGUGAAAGUCCGGGGCUCAACUCCGGAUCUGCGGUGGGUACGGGCAGACUUGAGUACUGCAGGGGAGACUGGAAUUCCUGGUGUAGCGGUGAAAUGCGCAGGAUAUCAGGAGGAACACCGGUGGCGAAGGCGGGUCUCUGGGCCGAUACUGACGCUGAGGAGCGAAAGCGUGGGAGCGAACGG
rnacentral:rRNA from 1 species